CACCAGUUGAAACAGUUGUCUUCUCAUUACAGGGAACAUCAUGAAAUAGGGAACUGAAUCAACAUUAACAAAGACAUUUGGAGUCAUCUCAAUAUCAAAAGAAUGGGUGGACAUUUUAGUAGGAGCUGAUUCUUAAAGAAAGGAAAGAUGACCAGAGGGAAAAGGAGGUAUGAGAUGAAGAUGGAAACUGCAAUGUACAGGUGUACAAGAGGGGGAAAAAGAAGA